AAUCCCCGUCCUCCGGGCGAGGGAAAUGUGGCGUUUAGGAGUGAGCGUGUCGWGUUCGGAGCCGGCGGCAAGUCCCCCUGACCGGGGCCUGUCCGUAGCGGGUGCGAGGCCCAUAGCCGCCGGCGUCGUCUCGAAUGCGAUCUCCUGGGAGUCGGGUUGCUUGGGAGUGCAGCCCCAAUCGGGUGGUAAACUCCACCUAAGGCUAAAUACCGCCGUGAGACCGAUAGCAAACAAGUACCGUGAGGGAAAGUUGCAAAGAACUUUGAAGAGAGAGUUCAAGAGUACGUGAAACUGCUCAGAGGUAAACGGGUGGRSCCUCGAAAUCCUGUGGCGAGAGGAUUCAGUCUGUCUAGGCGGACGCGUAGGAAGCACUUGGACUCCGAGAAUCSGGCCGUCUUCCGGCGCGGCUUUCGCCGACGCAGACGCAUUUGUCUCUCGUCCCGAGGACGCUGCAGCCGGUCUGGAAGUUGCAAGCGCGACGGCCUGAAGGCCUGGGAGCYGGCAGGUGGCCGGUGGCUCGCCUCGUUGCGGGUCGUCGGUUUUUAUAGCCGUCCCGGCAGUGGCUCGUCUCCAGACCGUGGUGUCGCGAGUCCCUUCRASGGGACUCCUCGUCUCCAACCCCAGAGUCGCGGA
rnacentral:rRNA from 1 species